AACGAACGCUGGCGGCAUGCCUAACACAUGCAAGUCGAACGAGACCUUCGGGUCUAGUGGCGCACUGGUGCGUAACGCGUGGGAACCUGCCCUUAGGUUCGGAAUAACUCCCCGAAAGGGGUGCUAAUACCGGAUAAUGUCUUCGGACCAAAGAUUUAUCGCCUUUGGAUGGGCCCGCGUUGGAUUAGCUGGUUGGUAGGGUAAAAGCCUACCAAGGCGACGAUCCAUAGCUGGUCUGAGAGGAUGAUCAGCCACACUGGGACUGAGACACGGCCCAGACUCCUACGGGAGGCAGCAGUGGGGAAUAUUGGACAAUGGGCGAAAGCCUGAUCCAGCAAUGCCGCGUGAGUGAUGAAGGCCUUAGGGUUGUAAAGCUCUUUUACCCGGGAUGAUAAUGACAGUACCGGGAGAAUAAGCUCCGGCUAACUCCGUG
rnacentral:rRNA from 1 species